rnacentral:rRNA from 1 species
UGCGAGUUGAAUGGGAUACCUAAAUUCCCCAUAGCAAACUGCUCAGUAACACAUGAUCAACUUACCCUAUAGAGAAAAAUAACCUCGGGAAACUGAGGAUAAUGUUUCAUAAUUGAAUUGGCUUGGAAAAGUUUUUCAAUGAAAAGGAUAAAAAGAAUGGUUUUUAUCUGCUAUAGGAUAGGAUCGUGUUCGAUUAUGGUUGUUGGUGAGAUAAUGGCUCACCAAGCCGAUAAUCGAUAGGGGCCGUGAGAGCGGGAGCCCCGAGAUGGGUACUGAGACAACGACCCAGGCCUUACGAGGCGCAGCAGGCGCGGAACCUCCGCAAUACACGAAAGUGUGACGGGGUUACCCAAAGUGUUCAAUAGAACUGUGGUAGGUGAGUAAUGUCCCCUACUAGAAAGGAGAGGGCAAGGCUGGUGCCAGCCGCCGCGGUAAAACCAGCUCUUCAAGUGGUCGGGAUAAUUAUUGGGCUUAAAGUGUCCGUAGCCGGUUUAGUAAGUUCCUGGUAAAAUCGGGUAGCUUAACUAUCUGCAUGCUAGGAAUACUGCUAUACUACAGGGCGGGAGAGGUCUGAGGUACUACAGGGGUAGGGGUGAAAUCUUAUAAUCCUUGUA